AUUGAACGCUGGCGGCAUGCUUUACACAUGCAAGUCGAACGGCAGCACGGGUGCUUGCACCUGGUGGCGAGUGGCGAACGGGUGAGUAAUGUAUCGGAACGUAUCCGGAAAUGGGGGAUAACGUAGCGAAAGUUACGCUAAUACCGCAUAUGCCCUGAGGGGGAAAGGUGGGGAUCGCAAGACCUAUCGUUUUCGGAGCGGCCGAUAUCAGAUUAGCUAGUUGGUGGGGUAAAGGCCCACCAAGGCGACGAUCUGUAGCUGGUCUGAGAGGACGACCAGCCACACUGGGACUGAGACACGGCCCAGACUCCUACGGGAGGCAGCAGUGGGGAAUUUUGGACAAUGGGGGCAACCCUGAUCCAGCCAUGCCGCGUGAGUGAAGAAGGCCUUCGGGUUGUAAAGCUCUUUCGGACAGAAAGAAAUCGCACUUGAUAAUACCUUGUGUGGAUGACGGUACUGUAAGAAGAAGCACCGGCUAACUACGUGCCAGCCGCCGCGGUAACAC
rnacentral:rRNA from 1 species